rnacentral:rRNA from 1 species
CAGAACGAACGCUGGCGGCGCGUCUUAAGCAUGCAAGUCGAACGGCAAGAGGUAGCAAUACCUCCUAGAGUGGCGGACUGGUGAGUAACACGUGGGUGACAUACCCUUCAGAUGGGGAUAGCUAUUAGAAAUAGUAGAUAAUACCGAAUACGAGCACAGGGGUUAGAGAUCUGUGAGGAAGGGAGCUAAGGCUCCGCUGAAGGAAUGGCCUGCGGCCCAUUAGCUAGUUGGUGAGGUAAGAGCCCACCAAGGCGAUGAUGGGUAUCCGGCCUUAGAGGGUGAACGGACACAUUGGGACUGAGAUACGGCCCAGACUCCUACGGGAGGCAGCAGCUAAGAAUAUUCCGCAAUGGACGAAAGUCUGACGGAGCGACGCCGCGUGGAUGAAGAAGGCCGGAAGGUUGUAAAAUCCUUUUGAAACUGAAGAAUAAGCGUUGUAGGAAAUGACAGCGUGGUGACAGUAGGUUUUGAAUAAGCAACGGCUAAUUACGUGCCAGCCGCCGC